GGGUCUGUGAUGAAAUCUGGGAAAAAAAAAUACCAUCUUUCGGGACUGAUUUGGCUUUCAUCAGCCAUGUUGUCACUUCCAAGAUCCUGAGGUCU
rnacentral:snoRNA from 1 species